UUGUCAUUGUAUGUCUGUCUUCCCAGAAAACUGAAUUUUUUUAAAGCAGAAACCCAUAUUGUUUACCUUUAUGUUUCCCUAAUAGUCUCUGGCCUGCAAUAGCCCAUGUUUGUGGAAUAAACAACUUACCUUGUGACCUUGCCAGCCCAUCACAGCUCUCUCUCAGGAAGUGAGUAACACCAAACCACCUAUAUAACGGACAAAAUUUCUCCUGGGCAGAGAGCUGCUAAUCUGGGCAGGGACCGCCAGGAGAGCACCGGCCUACUGCAGGGUCACCACCGCCCCCUGCCCAUGAAGCCAUGCCAAAGACCUGUCUCCUCUUCUUCCUCACCAUCUUCUGCACAGGGGUCUCAUUGGAUAUAAUUUUGAAACCGGAUACCAAAGCACUGACUGUCCUCAUUGGGGAGGCUGCUACCUUCCGUUGCAGCAUAACAGGAGGGGACCUGAAGAACUAUCAAAUAAGCUGGUAUAAGAAGAGUGAAGAUAACUCUCUGAUUUUGAUCUCCAAACUAAGCAACAAUUCUAAUGACAAUUUAGGGAAUAAUUUCAAGGUGAAAAUCGAUACUUUAAAAAGUCAAUUUAUGCUUGACAUUCAAAAAGCAACAACACAAGAUGUUGGGACUUACUACUGUGCGUCUGAUAUCCAACAGUGCUGCGGCUCCGUUUCUGACCGCUUCAAAAACCCUAGGGCCAAAUUGAGGUAGCAGAUCCAAUUCGAGACCACCCCGGGCUAAAAUGUGCACCACACCUGAGAUGAAGCUGCCUGAUCACUUCAACAGUAACAUCUGAUAAAAGAGGCCAGGAGUUGAAGUGGGGGCAAGGGGCUUAUCUUUGCAGUUGGCUUAGAGGGGCCUUCUUUAUCAGCUGAAGAGGGCAGAAAAGACUGAGGAUUUUUGUGGAGAGAUGUUGUGGGGGAGGGGGGUUGCUGCACCUGUUUCUCACAGGCUCCUGAGGAAAGGUUGGAAAUAACAGCUUUUAAUACUGAGUAAGCCCUCUCAUUGUGAAGGCAGGCUGAGAUAAACAGAACUUUUACUAUCAUGAGUGCUAUAGCUCAUUGCAGUCUUUAUUGUGAAAGUGUUCA